CGACUUCGUGUGCUCCACGCGAGGGCCGCCUGACGCCAGAGUUUCUCCCGCAUCUGCCAUCAGAGGACCGUCGCCCUCAGGAGCCCGAGCUCCCGCGGCUUCUCCGAAAUUGGAGUUCCAGAAGCCAUCCUUGGAUAACAUCUCUAUAAUCUCCUGGGAGAAUCCUUCUUCGAAGAAAUCCUCCAUCAGAGGAGAGUUCUUGGUCUCAGUCACAUCUGAAAGAGCAAGUGCAAAUGUCUCCUGUUCACUAAGGGUGAGAACACAGACAAGAGCAAGUAGGGGUGAUAGAUCUUGAGUCCAGCCUAUCCAUCAAGGGACCCAAAGGGGUGACCCAUGUGGAACUGGCAUCACAGAAAACAGACAGAGCCCAUUCCCAGGAGGGUCAAGAAGGGAGUUGGGAAACCAUAGGGUUCAACGAGGAGGGAGAUUCUACCAUUACCUUCACACCUAAGUGACUGACCAAGUUCCCUAAAAAAUCGCCUGGACUCACCUGCUUCUACUCUCCACUCUAUCCUGUACUGUCACCAAAAUCUUCCUCCUCAUAUCCUGCAUCCUCUAUCCCAGACAACACCCCGCUCUCCCCACACCACCAUCCAUCCAGUUCUCCAUGCUAGAAUCCUGGGAGUCAACCUCCUCCCUACCUCCCUCAACUUGGCACUAUUUUCAUUUGGUCUCUAUCGAAAUGUCUCAACUCCCUUCCUCUCCUCUCUUUAUCACUGACUCAGCAUCUGACCCCAGGCUGCUCAUUGGUCUCCUGUUUGUCUGUCUCUCUCUCUCUCUAGUCUUCCACACUAGCCCUAAAGGGCUUUGUAGUUAAUGGAUCUGACUAUAUCACUCCUCUGAUUAAACCCUUCCAUGGCUUCCUGCCUGGAGAAAAGAAAUGAGUGUAUUAGCCCAGUGUUCUUUGUGCUGACCUCAUAGAACUCUUGCGGUUCCCUAAAUCCACCAGACUUUCUCCUCUGUGCCUUUAAUGGUCCCUCAUGCUGGAUGGCACUUCCUGGACUAACUCCUCUAAGUCUUUUAAUACCCAGCUUAUCACCCUUCUCUGAAAGGCUUCCCUGACAACCCCAUCCCCAUUCUGCUUUAAGUCCCCUGCCCUGUAUUCUCUGAAAACCAGCUGAGCACUGACCAUCCUCUACCAUAACAGGUUAUGAAAGGGUCUGACCCCUGACCCUUACCAGAAGGUAAGUUCUUUAAUGGGGACCUUCCACUGCUCAUCCAUCCACUGCCACAGAGGCGGCCACGAGAAAGAUUCACAGGACAGAGUAAUUCCCAUUCAUGGUAUGCUUGUUCACAGGCAGGAGUGCCUCAGGCACUCUGUUACACUCGACAACCUCCUGUAAGGUAGGCACGUUUCUGCUUUCUUACAGGUAAGUGAGCAGAAGACUGAGGAUUUGAACCCCUCUGACUAUAUAUAUAUAUAUAUAUAUAUAUAUUUUUUUUUUUUUUUUUGGAGACUGAGUCUUGCCCUGUUGCCCAGGCUGAAGUGCUGCACGAUCUCAGCUCAACGCAACCUCUGCCUCCUGGGUUCAAGUGAUUCUCCUGCCUCAGCCUCCCGAGUAGCUGGGACUGCAGGUGCCCUCCACCACGCCCAGCUAAUUUUUGUAUUUUUAGUAGAGACAGAGUUUCAGCAUGUUGGCCAGGCUGGUCUCGAACUCCUGACCUCAAGUGACCGGCCUGCCUCGCCCUCCCAAAGUGCUGGGAUUACAGGUAUGAGCCACCACGCCUGGCCCCCAUAUUCUUAACUACCAAGCUGUAUGCUCUCUGGGAUCCUUCACAAAACAUGAAUGUCACUGCUCUGCUGUAUGCCUCCAGUCUCCCCAUCUCUCCUCUCCUCCAUCAUCAUACCUUUUCCAGCCUGUCCCUUGUGCAGUUCUUGGCUCACCAUCUGAGUAUCUAUGAGACUGCUUAAAGUCUCUCUGCCUGGAAUUAAAACUUGCAAAUGAAAGCCUUCUGAAACCACAUCUUGUUCUGAAUUGUCACCUUUGCCUCUGCUCAUCUCUCCCACAGAUAUCCAGCUCACUCUCCUCACCACACUUGUGCUCAUGUUGUUCCCUCGGCCUCAAAUGCACCAACAGACAUGUAAUAGGCACCCCUUAUAUGCCAAGCAUGAUGUCAGGAGCUGGGAAUACAGGGUGAAUCAGCUAAGCCCUGCUUCCAAGAGCGGCAUGCUGUUAAAGGGGAAAGACGCUUAUGUGGUAACUAUGCAACUCAAGUGUCACUACUAGAGGAUAUGGAGGUAUAUUUGUUAGUAAAGGCAUGGCUACCUAUGUUUGGAAACAGCCAAUAUGCUGAGGUGACAGAAACAGAAAGCAGAAGUUGUGAGAGCCUGUGCAUGAGUUAGUCACCUAUGAGGAACACUGAUGUGCUGAAGAGGAGGCUGCAGAGGCCUCAUGUACACGAGCCUGAGCGUGGUGAGCCAAGAAGGGAGCUGCAGACUGACUGGAUGGGGUACAGCCUGAGAUUCCUGUGGUCUCUGGUUCAGGGCCCUGCUUCUCAUGCUGGGGACGUCUCUACCAUGGGUAAUACCCCAGGAAUCCUCACCACCUAACCUGAUCCACCUGGAGGAACCCCGGCUUGGGAGAUGGCAGGGCAGAUGCUCUUGGCAGCAUUCAGGCCUGGGCUUAAGUUACUCCCUGAUGUGGCCAUCUGCUAUGCCCCAGGGAUAGGAAGGAAAAAUGGGCCUGAAGGAAAGGAGGUAAAAGAAGUAGAAUGAGGGUCAACACACUCAGGGAGCACAAGGCAGGAAAGUAGAGAGACCAACUGAGAGAGUGGAGGGCGUACCCUUGUUGAGUCUGGAAGGAAAGAGGAGGAGCUGUGGAGAGGCACCAGGAUAACCCUGUGCUGAAGGGCAAGGUAGAGAGACCCCAGAGUGAGGGUCUAUAAAAAUGUCCUGAUCCCCCCAGCUCCCAGGACAAGGGGAUGGAAGCCAGCGAGAAGCAGAGUGAAGUCCUGAAGCUGAGCGUUGUAAUGUCUCGGUAGACCUGUGGGAAAGCUGGCUGCAGCCUCAGGAUGGAGGUCUGGAAGACAGAAGGUACACAAGGGGCCCCUCUCCAUCCACUCACCAGGGCUUGUUGCUUCUGGGCUUCCUCCUGCCAGAGGCUCCAGAUCUUCACUGCCAUCUGGGUGGGAGGUCAGGUUGGGUCUUGGGGGGUCUGCAGGGAGAGAAAAGCAUUGUCACCCAACCAGGACAUGGAGGACCAUCCAGACACUCAGUGAGAACCUCCUGGCUCUCCUGACUUUUCUAUGCUUUAUCCUGCACGUGGCUCCUGUGUGUGGACGAGGUGCUGCACUGGGCGACUCUGGGGAUGCCUGUCCUGUAGGGUUCCCAGUCCAGUGAUGGAGAGGGAGCCAAACAAUCACAAUCCAGGGUGAUCAAAGCUGUGACAGCUGGGGCUGGGGAUACAAAGGACUUGUGACAGCUCUUUAAUGGGCAGGAUCUGCCAGGUGGAGAGGCACGUACUUCCUUAGCCAUUCAUGAUUUAUUCACUGACCCAUGGGCCACACAUUGCCUGAGGCCUCCAUGGGCCAGGGACAGAAAAUGUCAGGGUCCCAGAGCCCAAGCAGUCCUGAGCCAUACCCUCCACAAGCUUCCCCAAGGAAGGGAACAGAGUCACCAUCCAGGAGGGAUACAGGCCACAGCGGAGAAAACGCCACUGCUGUCUUUGAAGACUGAGAAGCCAUGAGUCAAGCAAUACAGGUGACCUCCAGAAGCUGGCAACGGGCCAGGAAGGACUAUCUACGUGCUGGAGCCUCCAGAAGGAACAUGGUGGCCCUGCCAACACCUCGCCUCCAGCCCAGCCACAUGCAUUUGGAACUCCUGGCCUCCAGGACUGUAACAUAAUAAAAGUGUGCUGGUGGAAGCCACUGUGUUUGUGGUAUGUGUAACAGCAGCAAUAGGAAACGGAUACACUACUCAUACAUUCACACAAAUGGGUGAAGGGGCAGUCGAGGUAAACACACUUCUUACUGUGGGCUGUAGUUUAAAAAUUCAAAAAGACACUGAGGUAGGACCUCCCACGAGAUGCUUCUUAGCACACACUGGCCAGUCUGGAGAAAGUCUGCCCCAAUGUGAUGAGAUUCUAUCAAAUGAUAGUUUCCACCGUGUGUUAUCUUUUACUUCUUUCAUCUUUUGGAGUAAAUUAUUUUUCUGGUUCUUCAAAAAGAAAGAACUGAGGCAACAGAGAGGGAAAAUGAGUUAAUCAGGUGACACUGAUGGGGAGCUGGGGUGAUAUGGCCUUGGAGCUGCACAGACCUUAGCUGGAGUCUGGGCCCUGCUGCUGUCUCACUGUGUGACACUGGUGUGCAGAAGAGGGCGACACAGCAGGCUGGCUGCUCUCCUGGGAAAAGCCUGCUGGCAAGGCUGGAUUUCAGGGGGGUACCCCGUGUCUCCAGAACUGAAGAGACACGCUCCCUGGACCUAAACUGUGCAAACACGGUGGCUUACACCUGCUUUCCUUCUGGGGGGCUGGAAUUUUGGAAUGUGCCAGGCAGAGGAGCCCACAUGACCAGCCCCCAGUAAAAACCCUGGCACUGAGUCUCUGAUGAGCUUCCCUGGUGGACAGCAUUUCACACGCGAUAUCACAUUCUACAGUAUUGCUGGGGGAAUUAAGCAUGUCCCAUGUGACUCCCCUGAGAGAAUUCUGGAAGCUUGUGCCUGGCUUCCUUGGACUUUGCCCCAUGUACCUCCUCCCUUUGCUGACUGUGCUCUGAAUCUUUUCACUGUAGUAAGUCAUAGCCAUGAGUCUGACUACAGGAUGAGUCCUGGGAAUCCUAGCCAAUCACUGAAUCUGUGGGUGCUCCUGGGGACACUGACACAGCUGGGAAGGUGACUGCCACUCUUUUAACCUCAGUUUCAGACCAAUCGGCAAAAGAGGGACAACCCAGCUUCUUCAUGGGGUGACUGGAGGAUUGAACAAGCAAGUCCUAAGAGCUGCUACUCAAUCAUUCAUUAGUUUAGAGCUGUCUGCUGGGCCCUAGAGCAGGUACUGUUCGUUCCAAACACUGGGGACACGCCCUGUCCUCACACAGCUCCCGCUCUGAAUGAUACAAUGGUAGUUAGAACGUGAGGGAGCGACAGACAAGAUGAGUAGGAGAGGAGGUAUGGAGUUCUAACAGGGUCCCAGGUUAAACUUUAAAAAUGUAAGCCCUGAGAGCCGCUUAGGCAGAGGGGAGGGCAACUGGAAGACUUUGAAGUAUCAGCUUGAAGAAUGACUGACUACAAGUAGGAAAGUGGUGAAGACAAGGCUGGGGAGGCAGAUAGGGGCCAGAGCAGGGUUUCCCAGGCUUAGCACUACUGACACUGGCGUGGGCCAAUCCUUGGUUGUGGGGCUGUGCUGUGCACUGUAGGAUGUGUGGCAGCCUCCCUUGGUUCCACCAGCUAGAUGCUAGCGGCACGCUGCGCUGGCCCAAGGAGUAACAAUCAAAAAUGUCUCCACACAUUGCCAAUGUCUCCUCGGCCAGCUGAGAACUGCUGGGCUAGGUCAUGCUGAUUCUGAGGAGCCCAGGAGCCAGGACUUCACCCUGUGGGUGGUAGAGAGCAUGGGUGAUCACCAAGCAGGGCAGUGAGUAGGCCCCUGGGGACAGGCAACACUCACCCAGCAGGAAGAGGUCCUGGCAAUUGUCCAACGCUGUGUCCCAGAACGUGUCCCCCUGUUCCAGCCCGAGCUGCUCCCAGUCUCCCAAGGUGAAGUCCAUGCCGACAUCCUUGAGGGUCACAAAUUCCUGAAACACAGUACACUAUUGGUCACUCAGAGGCUGGGGUCAGGGAGGAGCCCAACAGCUCACUCAGGGCACUCCCAGCCCUCAAUCUGCCAGGGCUUUGGCAAAAACCAUCCCAUCCUCAGCCUCACAAGAAUCUUGAGAUGUAAGAGACUGGAAACCCCUGUAUUUUGUAGGCAAAGAAAAGGACCUUGACUUUGACCAGGGGACAGGAUGUCAACCGAAGUUAACACAGGUGGGACUGAACCCAGGUCUGCCUGAUCCUAAAAAUCUAUUUUACGCUUUUGCUUUAAGUGUUCAUUCAAGACUUAUUUUGUAAACUUUCAAACAUACAUACAAGUAGAGAUGUAUAUAAUUAACACCCAUGAACUCAUCACCCAGGGGUCAUCUGAUUUCACCUGUGAAUACUUCAGUAUGAACAGUAACUCCUUAAUCACUGAACACCUAGACCACAUUCAAAAUCUGUAUACAGAUUAGUCUGACAUCUCAGUGGUGUGUCUUUAUAGCUAGCUCGUCUCAAUCAGAAUCCAGGGGGCCCAUACCCUGUAACUGAUGUG
rnacentral:lncRNA from 10 species